AGCACAAAGUGCUCCCUUGCCAUGCUCAUUCGGGCUCUGUGUUUGGAGGCCAAUUACUGAAGGAUGGAGGGGGAUUAUUUGAUUGAUAUCCUCCAGGACAACUACAUUUGCGCUGUCAAUUCCAAAUGCCAAACCAAGCAGCUUGUGGGCCAGCUUGUUUUUCUCCCUGCAUUGCGCUUGGUGUUUGGCCUUUUUCCCUGAUGGACAAACUAACUUAUCGGAGGAGGUCCUGUUAAUGUACACUGAUUUGAGCGUAAGGCGGAAGAAAAACACUAGACCCUUGUUGAUUUGCUUGGAGAGAAGCGUCUUCUAGCUUGGAAUGUGAAUAUGCAUGGUGCGGUCACAGCGACUUGAGGAUGAGGUUGAAGAGAAGCUCCGGCGCGGAAAAGAAGGGGCUGUGGUCGGUGUCCAUGACCAUCACCUUGCUUGGCGGCCACCGGCGGAUCAUUGCCUCCUGUUGCUCCGGCUGCACCAUCCGGUCGUUCUCCGUCUUUAUGUAGACGCGGCGGACCCUGUCGAUGAAGCUCUCAACUCCUCCAUCGUCGCCGGUGAAUCUGGCCGUGCUGAGCGCCGUUGGCCAUGGCCGGAGUAGAAUGGAAGCUAGUGCAGAGUCCUGAAGAAACACUGUAGGCGGAUGAUCAGCUCCUAGACCAAAUGUCAGGUCAUACACAUCUCCAUGCUCGGAUAAAUCAGUUUGGUAGCCGAACUGAAGCAUGGUUGCUGCGAUGAAGAUUGCCUGCUUAAUUCUGUCCCCAAACAAAUGCAUUGCAUGGACAACGCUUAGACCUCCUGCACUAUGUCCAAUCAAAAUUACCUGACAAACAAGAGAACUGUGCAUCAGUGAACCAUAAUCUGAAUCACCUACCUUGUCGCCGGCCGGUAAGCUGGCCAUGAGGUCAAGGAGCGGCGCGUUGUAGUCGUCGAAGGAGCGGACGUGGUUGGGAUCGACGAGGCUGCCGGCCGCGCCGGCGAGGUCGACGG